rnacentral:rRNA from 1 species
GACAGAGGGUGCAAACGUUGUUCGGAAUCACUGGGCGUAAAGCGCGUGUAGGCGGCCGCGUAAGUCGGGCGUGAAAUCCCACAGCUCAACUGUGGAAGUGCACUCGAAACUGUGCGGCUAGAGUCCUGGAGAGGAAGGUGGAAUACUUGGUGUAGAGGUGAAAUUCGUAGAUAUCAAGUGGAACACCGGUGGCGAAGGCGGCCUUCUGGACAGUGACUGACGCUGAGACGCGAAAGCGUGGGGAGCAAACAGGAUUAGAUACCCUGGUAGUCCACGCCGUAAACGAUGAGUGCUAGGUGUCACGGGCUUUGACCCUCGUGGUGCCGUAGCUAACGCGCUAAGCACUCCGCCUGGGGAGUACGGCCGCAAGGCUAAA